AACGGCCGUACCAUGCUGAAUAUACCGUCUCUUGAUAGAUCACCGAAGUCAAGCAUCAUUGGGCGCGGUCAGUACUUGGGUGGGUGACCACCUGGGAACACUGCGUGCCGUU